UACGAAGGGGGCUAGCGUUGCUCGGAAUUACUGGGCGUAAAGCGCACGUAGGCGGUCUUUUAAGUCGGGGGUGAAAUCCUGGAGCUCAACUCCAGAACUGCCUUCGAUACUGGAAGACUCGAGUCCGGGAGAGGUGAGUGGAACUGCGAGUGUAGAGGUGAAAUUCGUAGAUAUUCGCAAGAACACCAGUGGCGAAGGCGGCUCACUGGCCCGGUACUGACGCUGAGGUGCGAAAGCGUGGGAGCAACAGG
rnacentral:rRNA from 1 species